rnacentral:lncRNA from 1 species
CAACAUAGUGAUCGAGGUAGUCUUCUUAAUUUCCUUCCACGCAAAACAAUUCUUACUUAAAUUUUAAUCACAAGAAUAAAAUAAGUAUUGUGCAUACAUAUAGAUACACACCCGUAGAUACACAAAACAAUCCUUGAACACGAAUCGAGUCCUCAUCUUGUUCGUUUUCUCUGUCUUUCCCAACAAUCUGCAUCUUCUUUCUUGUGUCGUUCCUUCUCUCCGUAAAUGUUUAAGCCUUCCUUUUAUCCCUUAUUCGUUUUCUUCUUAGAAGAUCAGGUUGUCGAAUUUUUUCUGGUUCGCCGAAACUAACGAACCGGACGCGAAUUAUAGCGACCUCGGUCAGAAAUGACCCGUAUCUAGGUCGAACGAACUGGUUUGGGAUACAUGGCAGCGUACCCAUUUUCUUGUAACUAUUAAACAGACUUCAACUGGAAAAGAACAUGGGAGCUUUUGAGAAAUUUGUCUCGUGACUCAAACUUACUAUGGUGUGUCAUCAAUGAUAUGAACAAUAUUACUUCACAGUCCGACAAAAGAGGAGGAGCUCUAUACCCUUAAUGGUUACUAGAUGGAUUUAGUGACACUAUAGAGAAAGCUGGACUUCGUGACAGAGAAUUGAUUGGAGCCCAUCAUUUACCAUUUACCCGACGAGAUUGGACAGUGCCGGCAUCCUUUUACUUGGGAGCGAGGCAAGUCUACAGAGUUUGGGUUGGAGAUUCCAUAUUGAUAGCAAAAUAUCAAAUUUUGAUUAUCAUCAU